AAGGCCUGUAAGUUUAUGACAAGAGAGGGGCAAUUUCAUUCACCCUACUGUCAAUUCUAGUAAAAGGGAGAUGAGAACAUCCAAAUCACAGUGAACCAAUUAAGUGACCACUGUCUGCCAACCACUGUUAGGUCAGUGGAUAAAAGAAGUGAGGAAAAAUUUUUGCUAACAGUUUAAAGGUUGAGACAGAGAAGAGAAUGCACUGACUUACAAGUUGGCAAGUGCCUGAGCAAUAAUCCUGAGAACUACUUCCGUGCAUCAAAUACAAUUAAUGUAAUACUUUAAAGAAUAAGUAAACAGAUA